rnacentral:rRNA from 1 species
AUUGAACGCUGGCGGCAGGCCUAACACAUGCAAGUCGAGCGGAUGACGGGAGCUUGCUCCUUAAUUCAGCGGCGGACGGGUGAGAAAUGCCUAGGAAUCUGCCUGGUAGUGGGGGACAACGUUUCGAAAGGAACGCUAAUACCGCAUACGUCCUACGAGAGAAAGCAGGGGACCUUCGGGCCUUGCGCUAUCAGAUGAGCCUAGGUCGGAUUAGCUAGUUGGUGAGGUAAUGGCUCACCAAGGCGACGAUCCGUAACUGGUCUGAGAGGAUGAUCAGUCACACUGGAACUGAGACACGGUCCAGACUCCUACGGGAGGCAGCAGUGGGGAAUAUUGGACAAUGGGCGAAAGCCUGAUCCAGCCAUGCCGCGUGUGUGAAGAAGGACUUCGGAUUGUAAAGCACUUUAAGUUGGGAGGAAGGGCAGUAAGCUAAUACCUUGCUGUUUUGACGUUACCGACAGAAUAAGCACCGGCUAACUCUGUGCCAGCAGCCGCAGUAA